AUUGAACGCUGGCGGCAGGCCUAACACAUGCAAGUCGAGCGGAUGAAGGGAGCUUGCUCCUGGAUUCAGCGGCGGACGGGUGAGUAAUGCCUAGGAAUCUGCCUGGUCGUGGGGGAUAACGUCCGGAAACGGGCGCUAAUACCGCAUACGUCCUGAGGGAGAAAGUGGGGGAUCUUCGGACCCCACGCUAUCAGAUGAGCCUAGGUCGGAUUAGCUAGUUGGUGGGGUAAAGGCCUACCAAGGCGACGAUCCGUAACUGGUCUGAGAGGAUGAUCAGUCCCACUGGAACUGAGACACGGUCCAGACUCCUACGGGAGGCAGCAGUGGGGAAUAUUGGACAAUGGGCGGAAGCCUGCUCCAGCCAUGCCGCGUGUGUGAAGAAGGUCUUCGGAUUGUAGAGCACUUUAAGUGGGGAGGAAGGGCAGUAAGUUAAUACCUUGCUGUUUUGACGUUACCAACAGAAUGCGCGCCGGCUAACUUCGUG
rnacentral:rRNA from 1 species